AGCUUUGAGCAGUGGCAGUAUCGCAGCCAAUGAGGUUUAUCUGAGGCGCGAUUAUUGCUAAUUGAAAGAACAUAUGAAGAAAUAAAGAUUUCAGUAAAGAUAAAAAAUACAUUAGCAAUUUUUUUUUUUUAAAGA